rnacentral:lncRNA from 1 species
GAGAACACUGCUGGAGAAGAAAACGAAGUCUUCAACAAGCACUCUGCUCUGGGGAUAUAGAAUCUCCACAGAGACUCUGUUUGGGGAGAAAUCCCAACAACAACUCUGCUUGGGGAGAAACCCCAAUAACAGUCUGGAGAAAAAGAGAUACAGCCAUGCCAGGAGUAAUGAACGAAUGUCUUACCCUGUUGGAAAUCAUGCCACCCUUGGGAGAGCACUGAGAAA